GACUCCAGUGUGCCGCGCAGUGUGCGCAAAUUCGCAAACCCGCCCGCUGAGUUGGUCGUUUCGGAAUCCCGAGACUUGAAACCCAGCGGGAAGACCCUUCUCACCCUCAAAAGAUGACAGCCCGCAGAGAGUUAACUUCUGUUUACAUGGAACUCAGACAUCUGCAAAUCAUGAUUUCAAGGCCAGAGAAUGGCAGGGGAACAGAAACCCUCAAGUAAUCUCCUGGAGCAGUUUAUUUUACUAGCCAAAGGUACCAGUGGCUCAGCCCUCACUGCUCUCAUAAGCCAGGUCUUAGAGGCUCCUGGAGUGUAUGUCUUUGGAGAACUUCUGGAGCUGGCCAACGUGCAGGAGCUUGCGGAAGGAGCUAAUGCUGCUUAUUUGCAGUUGUUGAACCUGUUUGCCUAUGGGACAUACCCAGAUUACAUAGGUGAGUUGGUGAAGAUCCUUCAAAAGACUUGUGUUAAUUGUGUUGCUCAGUUUGGAAGACCAUCAAGGUUUGAGAUAUAAAGCAUGGGGUAGUGGGGAGACUUCUUGACCUGGCUGCCUCCCAUUUUGCUGUGCCUGGUGGGUGACCUCACAAAGGGAAUGUUCCUUC
rnacentral:sRNA from 1 species